UUGAGUUUCACAACUCUCCAACCCUGUGUAGACCGAAGCUUGGUUGCUCGGGCAGGCGAUCCCCGGGGGGGAUCGCAGCCUCGCUGAGGCGCCUGCCGGAGGAUACCUAAACUCGUCUGUAAACUUAUCUCUGAGUAUCAUACAAUGAGUUA
rnacentral:misc_RNA from 1 species